UACAGAGGGUGCGAGCGUUGUUCGGAAUUACUGGGCGUAAAGCGCGCGCAGGCGGCUCUUUAAGUCUGACGGUGAAAUGCCGGGGCUCAACCCCGUGCCCGCCGCGGAUACUGGAGGGCUGGAGACACGUAGAGGCAAGCGGAAUUCCGGGUGUAGCGGUGGAAUGCGUAGAGAUCCGGAAGAACACCGGAGGCGAAGGCGGCUUGCUGGGCGUAGUCUGACGCUGAGGCGCGAAAGCGUGGGGAGCAAACAGG
rnacentral:rRNA from 1 species